GAAAUGCGAUAAGUAGUGUGAAUUGCAGAAUUCAGUGAAUCAUCGAAUCUUUGAACGCACAUUGCGCCCCUUGGUAUUCCAUGGGGCAUGCCUGUUCGAGCGUCAUUUGUACCUUCAAGCUUUGCUUGGUGUUGGGUGUUUGUCUCGCCUCCGCGCGUAGACUCGCCUCAAAACAAUUGGCAGCCGGCGUAUUGUUUUCGGAGCGCAGUACAUCUCGCGCUUUGCACUCAUAACGACGACGUCCAAAAGUACAUUUUUACACUCUUGACCUCGGAUCAGGUAGGGAUACGCGCUGAACUUAAGC
rnacentral:misc_RNA from 1 species